AUUGAACGCUGGCGGCAGGCCUAACACAUGCAAGUCGAGCUGAUGAAGGGAGCUUGCUCCUGGAUUCAGCGGCGGACGGGUGAGUAAUGCCUAGGAAUCUGCCUGGUAGUGGGGGAUAACGUCCGGAAACGGGCGCUAAUACCGCAUACGUCCUGAGGGAGAAAGUGGGGGAUCUUCGGACCUCUCGCUAUCAGAUGAGCCUAGGUCGGAUUAGCUAGUUGGUGGGGUAAAGGCCUACCAAGGCGACGAUCCGUAACUGGUCUGAGAGGAUGAUCAGUCACACUGGAACUGAGACACGGUCCAGACUCCUACGGGAGGCAGCAGUGGGGAAUAUUGGACAAUGGGCGAAAGCCUGAUCCAGCCAUGCCGCGUGUGUGAAGAAGGUCUUCGGAUUGUAAAGCACUUUAAGUUGGGAGGAAGGGCAGUAAGUUAAUACCUUGCUGUUUUGACGUUACCAACAGAAUAAGCACCGGCUAACUUCGUG
rnacentral:rRNA from 1 species